AAGUCAAAGGAAAACGGAUUAUAGCUUGCUAUAAUUGUCAGCUAAGUGGCGCACGGGUGAUUAAUGUCUUUGUAAUAUGCCUCUUACUAAGGAAUAACAAUUGAAAACGAUUGCUAAUACCUUAUACUCCUUAUUAACAAAAUUUAAUAAGGAAAAAAUUUAUUGGUAAAAAAUUACCCUGUAUUGUAUCAUUUAUUUGGUGGGGUAAUGGCUUACC
rnacentral:rRNA from 1 species